rnacentral:tRNA from 1 species
AUCUUAUUAGUUUAAUUAAAAAUAUAACUCUGAAGAAGUUAAGAUUUWRAAGAUA